AGUUACAAGGUGUUCACAUCAAGGUGCACAUGUAUGUGUAUGUAAAGUAUAUAAGAAUAGUUGACAAAUAUAUAAAGAUAUUGUUAAUUAAUAUUAAAUGACAUUUUUGUUUAAAAUAAUACAUAAAAGAUAAAAUUAAAAUUAAUUUAAAAUAAAAAAGGCCUUGACAUUAGUCAUUUUUUUCAUAUAAAGAAAAUAAAAUUGUAUCCGUAAAUAGAGGUGGGCACUGAUUGAAUAUCUGAGUAUUUGGAAGCAUUCGUGUCGAUUCGAUCUUUAGCCACCUAGAUAUUCGGUGACUCGGAUAUCCGAAAUAUUUUAGAAUUUUAAAGAAUAUCCGAUUUGAUCCGUAAAUAAAAUAAAAUUUUAAAAAUAACUGAAAAAUUAAUAAUAACAUUUUAUUAAAAAAUAAAACACUAUUUAACUUAUAAAAUUUUAGUACCUAAUAUAAUAAAUUUAAUUCAUAAAAAUAUUGUAAAACUGAUAUAAAGUAUAAUAUAUAUAACAUACAUAUAUAAUUAUUUACAUAAAUGUAUAAAAUGCAUAUAACAUAUCGAAUUAGAUAUCUGUUCCUUAAAAUAUUGGCAUUUGUGAUUUGAUUCUUUUUGGAUAUUGUAUUUUAGUAUUUGAUUGGUUUCAUAGAGACACGGAUAUCCAGAUUUUUUGGUUCAAAUCAAAACGGAUAACGAAUUAAAUCAAAAUUUCUGAAUAUUUUGCUCAACUUUAUCCGUAAACAAUAAAAAUGAUAUAUAUAUAUAUAUAGUUUGACUUUUGAUACGUUAUCUAUUUUUAUUCGAAACAAAAAAUCCAGAGUUUUAUUGAAACCAUGUAUGUGAGUUUUAUAUUAAAAAAGUACAAAGUACAUAGUGUGAACACAUUUAUGAAUAUAGUGUGAACGCGUUAGCAUAAUUAUUAUCAAAUCAUUGUGAGGCUGCCACGUGUUUAUUAUUGUGUGAAUGCAUUUAUUACAACGCUUCUCUUUUAAUAUAUAAGGGAUGGUUAGACCCAUAUAUAAAGGUGCCAUACAUAUAUAAAUGUGAACACUGAAGCAAGCUAACUAUUUAAAAUGAUGGGUAAAUAAUUUACGAUAUAGUUAUGUAUAUGAUUACUGGUAAAUUAAUUUAGGCUAAAGGGUAAUUGUUUACUAUGAUUGGGUCCAUUUUAUAAUGCAAAGCCAUACAUAAGCGAGUCAACGAUGCAGCAAGCUAACUAUUUUAAUUUACUACCUGUUAAUUAAUUUAUGUUACGGGCUUAUUUUUUACCCUUGUUCGAAAACUCUCGCUAGGUGCUACGCGUGCGGCACAUACCGGCCUAGCGAUUUAUUAGAAAAGAGGAAAAAACUCGGGGAGUAAUCGGGAAAGAAUUUUUUUGUACUUUUAUAUAUAUAAUACCUUAUUUAUAUGUAUAAUACCAAAUAUUUAUAUAUAAUAAAUACAAGUUUAUGUAUAAAAUAUCAUUGGUACUAAAAUAGAAAUUUGUAAAUACAUAUCAAAUUAGAUCACAAAAUAUAAUUAUGUCUAUUGCAGUUUAAAUAUAGUAUAUUUAUAAUAAGGUUUUGUGGAAUAUUACAAAUAAAUUAAUGUGGUCCGGUGUUAAAGUUUUCAGUAAGUUACUUAUGUCUAUGUUGUAGAUUCGAUUUUUGUUUGUUAUUUAAAUAUUGACUUUUAUUGUAGAGAGUUGUGAAUCUCAACAUCCCACAUCGGACGUUUGUAAACUGGUGCAGAAGGAAUGACUAGUAUAAAUAGAGCACGUAUUAUAGACUUUAGGAAACUCAAUCAGGCUUUAAAAAAGGCAAAGCCCAUUUUUAUUGGGCUUAACCUAGAAAAUUUUGUUAUUAAUCGUCAGUUAAUUCGAUUUAAUAGCGCAUUGUUUUAUUAAGCGGCCGGUUUGUUUUUUUAGCGAUUUACCAAACCGAUUGGUUAAAAUCACCACGGUUGGACUCCGAGUUGCGAUUACCCGGCUGCAAAACCGGCUACUCGGCCGAGUUUUUGAACAAAGUUUUUUACUAUGAUUGAGCCCAUUUUAUAACGUGAAGCCAUACAUAUAAAUGUCAACGAUGUAACAGCCUAAAUAUUUUAUAAAGACGGGCAAACACUACAAAAAAACCUCCAUAUUAGCGCGAGGAAACCACUAUCAUAUGCCUGGGAUAGCGUAUUAUGAACUGCUAUGUCUGCUAUAAUAGUUCUCCCUUAUUAUAGCGGUUUCUCACAUGCUAUCGUAGCGAAAACAUAUGAUAGCAGUGUUUUUGUGUUUUCUGUUAUAUUGUUAACAUUAUAAUAGCGUUGUUUCCGACGGCUACAUUUGUUAUUUCAAUAGCAUAUCUUGAAGGCUAUAAUUGUUUUUUUCAUAUUGCACUAUUGGAUGUUUUACUUUUCUAUAUUACAGCGGUUUUAUAGAUGCUAUUGGUUAAUGGUUAGUUUUUUUUUGUAGCUAAUACAAUAUGUUAUUAGUAGUUUGACGUAUACCACAACCUGUUUGAUUUGUAUUGAAAGACACACAUUCAUAAAUUCAAACGCACAAAUUUUCGUAAUGGCGCCUAAAAUUUUCACCAAAAUAUUCAAUUACUACCAUAAAAUAAUUUCCCAAAUCUCUCUGCCAAAAUAUUUCUACACUUUCUUUUUAACUCUUCUUCUCCGUGGAAACACUCUUAUCGCCGACAAAGACCAACCCAAUCUCAACUCUCAUUCACGACAAAUUAUCACAGCUUGUCUCAAUAGUACUUCUCUUUUCCAAAACUCUGUUGCAAUAUAUUGUUCUUCAAAUCGAUUUGGGUUUAUGGGUGUUGGUUAGGGUUUCUGUUUUCAAAUCGAUUUAGGGUUUAUUUCUUAUAAUCUCUGCGUUUCCAAUCAAAUUAGGGUUCAUAUUUUCAAGUCGAUCUGGGUUCAUUUCUUCUAUCAAUUUCUGUGUCUUCAGUCAGUUUAUGGUUUGUAUUUCAAAAUCGAACUGGGGUUAAUAAGUCUCUGCGUUUUCAUAUCUUCUUUAAGUCUCUUAUUAAACUAUGUGAUUCAUUGAUUUAGGGCUCUAGUAUGCAUCCACCAAGAAGAGGCAGUUUCCCUACAAGAGCUACUAUUGAACAAGGCGCAAUAAAUUUUAUGAAGAACACCUCUCAGGCAGGUAUACAUCAACACAUUUCUGUUUCCAAAUCUUAUGCCAAGGUCAAAUAAGAUAUCGUACAAGAAUCUUGUCCUUAUUGUCUUAUUGUGUAUUGUUAAGAUUAUGUAUGUCCUUGCGACUCUUUUAUACCAUUUGCCUUGUGUUUAUAGAUCAUGUAGAUGGGGGAGGAGCCAGCUAUACUGACUUAGAGGGGUAGAUCCACAUGAAGAUUGUUGGAGACGUUGAGUCUAUUGUUGUUUUACAACACUUCUCCAACACUGAUGGCGAUGAGAAUAAAGUUGAGUAUUAUUAUUUUUAAGAUUCUGUAUUUCCCUUGUGGCUCUUUUUCUGUAAUUUUGUUUCUUGUUUUCUGGUUUAUUAGGUAGUCAACCCUCACAAACGAUGUUUGUUUGGACUUGGAACAACACAAAUGGAGAACAAUUAUCACAUUGAUCCACCAGCCCGUCCUUCUUACUCGUCAAUCUCGUUUAGAGAAGUUGAUUACUUUGACUGAAACUGUCUACUUGAUGAGCUAGCAGCUCACUGCCUUGUGUGAAGCUAGAGGAACUACCAACUCUUCUCCAUCCUCACCUCCUAGCACCAAUGAGCAGAGAAUCUAGAUGAUGUUGAUGACUUACUACAAUCAACUGAAGACAUAACACUUAGAAUCUUUUGUGUUUAGUUUGAACUAUUGUUAUGUCAUUAGUUUCGACCUAUUUGGUUUAAUAUUUUGUUUUCUACUAGUAAUGAAUGCAAUGUUUCUAUUAUGUUUUGGGAA